UCUCUCUCUCUCUCUCUCUCUCUCUCUCUCUCUAUGUAUUGAAACCCUAAAAUUGAAUUACCCCUUUCGAAAAAGUCUGCAGUCUCUCUCUCUCUCUCUCUCCCUCAGUUCGUGGAUUCUAAUUAAGAUCAUUAGCGAUCGCGAGACUGGUAAGAUCCAUGGCGGGUUUGAUGGGUUUCUGAAUCAUGAACGAGGCUCCGUCAAGAGGAAGCGGCGGUGGUGAUCGUGCCGUUACAGAGGGCGUUUUUUUAUCGAAUUGAUUUGGGGUUUUAUAGUUUUGGUUGCUCCACCGUUUCGAUAGCUUUUAUGAUUUGAUCUUGACAGAUCGCGAAACUGGAAAGAUGAUUGGGGGUUUUUGAUUGGUGACUUUCUACAACGAUUAAUCCCAUGAGGGAUAUGCUAUCUGAAGAGAUAAACCUGAGAUAUUUAUGGCCGUUAGAGAGAGCGGUGACGAAGGUCAGUUGAUAACGAAGCUUCUGGGUUGAACUAUGCAGGAAGCGUAGAGUUGAAUCGAGUCUGAUCUGAACUUUGUCAAGUCAUCUCUCUCGAUGAACAACUUAAGAGUGCGAAGUUGGAUUCUGUUAACUGCAUUGGAGAGCAUGUGUUUCCACUUUUUUUUUUUGUUUUGUGUUUUCUAUGUGAUAUGAGUUGUAUCAAACUUGCUGAUCCAAAUGAUGAUGAAUAGUUUACAAGGCCCUCUUGGACUUUCCAACACUUAGCGAUGGCAAUGAAGCAAUCAAGAUAGGUCGUAUAUCUUGAAACCUCAAAAACCAGAGAACUCUGUAUGGGGUUGAAACCUCAGAAACCUCAUCCAUCCAUAUAUACACACACCACAUGACACAUGCAAGCAUUCAUAUAUACAUAUCUGCAUUCAUUCAUUCAUACACACACAUGACACAUGCAAGUAUUCAUAACAUACAUAUCUGCAUUCAUUCAUUCAUACAUACAUCCAUACGUAUACAUACAUACUUUCAUUCAUUCAUUCAUUCAUACAUACAUACAUUCAUACUUCAUUCAUUCAUACAUACAUAAAUACAUUACUUCCAUGCUUCUUUGAUUCUUUGUCUGAUUUCAUGCUUAAUUAUUUGGUAACUUGCUUGCUUUUAUGCUCACAAACUGUUUUCUUCCGAUAAAACAUGUAUGUUGUGUUAGACAGCUCUAUGUUAUUGUUCAAACCAUUACAGAUGGAGACCUUUGAGCGUCUGUCAAGGCAAAGUCCUAUCGUGAUUAAUGUCGCUACAACAAUGACCAUUCAUUGAUACCAGCCUCACCGAAUUUUACCGAAAAGAAAAGGAUAAAGUUCUAUGAUCAUUCUUCUCCUUCUUCAUUAGCUAAAUCUAGAGUUUUAUAUGUGCGAGAGUUAUACAAAGUGAUCUCGUUUGUAUCUAAAAUUUAUAUUGGUUGGUUUUUAUUGUUCAGGUUGGUUUUACUUGCAACCAGAUCUAAACCAAGAGCCUCAUGACUUCUCUUGCACAAGGUUGAAUUUCUUGUUUUUCCCCAGGAAUAUUAUUUUAUUUCAACUAACCAUAUAGACCAGCUUGAUUUAAGGUCAUAGCUACUAUACCAAAUCUGAUAAAGGUAUAAUUUUCUUAACUUGUCUUGAUUCAAUAUACAGUCAAACCAAUCAAACUAAGUUAGAAAAAAAGUUUAUUAGUUUGUGCAUUUCGUCUUAUCAUUGUUUUUAAAGAGCCUAUAAGCAGUGGCAAAAUUGUCUAGAAGAAAGAGUAAAAGAAGACUAUAAGCCAUCCAUGAACUCCCACUUCUUAAAGCACUUCAAUCCGCUGGUAAGAAAACAUGAGAGAUAAGUUCUACGGGCCGAAAAAUGAAGCAAGAAACAGACUUAGGCCAUUUGCAAUGGACCACAGAGACAUAAUUAUCGUACGUUGAUCUCUUCUCCCAAGUGUACUGCUCUAAUCCUUUUCAGUUGGAAAAAUAUGAAUCUGGAUCUGACAUAAAUAGAUUUUAGCACUCAAAAGUACAUAUCUAACUCAACUGACUUAGGUUCUCAUAAAAGUUUAUGAGUUCUUAUGUACUGACUAUCUUGGUUUCUAUAUUCCAGGGCUUGCCGAUUUUUUGGAUGUAUAUGAGGAUAACAAUAAUAAUAUAUGGAUGUGGAGUUGCAUGGACAUAGUGAGGCUUAUAUACACGUUUUGGCAAUAUGUGUUUAGAUCA